rnacentral:snRNA from 1 species
GGGCUCUAUUCAGCAGCACAUAUACUAAAAUUGGAAUGAUACAGAGAAGAUUAGCAUGGCCCCUACACAAUGAUACACAAAUUCAUGAAGUGUUCCAUAUUUAA